rnacentral:lncRNA from 1 species
AGGUGGGCACUCCUGAGGCUGCAGAGCAGAAGAGACCACCAAAACUGCCCACCCCUGCCCACAUCCCUGGCCCAAGAGGAAACUGUAUAAGGCCUCUGGGUUACCGUGGGGGAGGGCCCAGGAGCGGUAGGACCCCUGCGCCAGAGACACCGCCAGAACCUGAAAGGACAGACCAGAUAAACAGUUCUCUGCACCCAAAUCCCGUGGGAGGGAGAGAUAAACCUACAGAGAGGCAGACACGCCUGGGAAACCAGAAGAGACUGCACUCUGCACACACAUAUCGGAUGCCAGAGGAAAACACCAAACGCCAUCUGGAACUCUAGUCCACUGAAGCUCCCGGAAAGGGCGGCUCAGAUCUUCCUGGUUGCUGCCUCCGCAGAGAGCUCAUGGGCAGCACCUCGUGAGCAAACUUGAGCCUCAGGAACACAGGUAAGAGCAACUUUUCUGCUGCAAGUGACCUGCCUGGGGAACUCAAGACACAGGCACACAGGAACAGCUGAAGACCUAAAGCAGAACACUCUGGUCCCAUAACUGGCAGAAAGAAAAGAGGAAAA